GAUGAAGAACGUAGCGAAAUGCGAUACGUAAUGUGAAUUGCAGAAUUCAGUGAAUCAUCGAAUCUUUGAACGCACAUUGCGCCUGCCAGCACUCUGGCAGGCAUGCCUGUUCGAGCGUCAUUUCAACCAUCAAGCCCUAGGCUUGCGUUGGAGCCCUGCGGCUGCCGCAGGCCCCUAAAAGCAGUGGCGGGCUCGCUAUCACACCGAGUGCAGUAGAUUACUCUUCGCUCAGGGCGUGUGGCGGGUUCCAGCUGUGAAACCCCCUACUUCUCAAGGUUGACCUCGGAUCAGGUAGGAAUACCCGCUGAACUUAAGCAUAUCAAUAAGCGGAGGA
rnacentral:misc_RNA from 1 species